rnacentral:rRNA from 1 species
AGAGUUUGAUCCUGGCUCAGGACGAACGCUGACGGUGUGCUUUAGACAUGCAAGUCGAACGGGACCGGGGGCAACUUCGGUUCAGUGGCGGACGGGUGCGUAACACGUGAGGAACAUGACCUUCGGCGGGGGAUAGCCGGCCCAACGGCCGGGUAAUACCGCGUACGACCUUUCGGGGACAUCCCUGGAUGGUGAAAGCAGCAAUGCGCCGAUGGAGUGCCUCGCGGCCUAUCAGCUAGUUGGUGGGGUAACGGCCUACCAAGGCAACGACGGGUAGCUGGUCUGAGAGGAUGGCCAGCCACAUUGGGACUGAGACACGGCCCAGACUCCUACGGGAGGCAGCAGUGGGGAAUAUUGCGCAAUGGACGAAAGUCUGACGCAGCGACGCCGCGUGUGGGAUGACGGUCUUCGGAUUGUAAACCACUGUCGGGAGGGACGAAUACGCCGCAAGGCGGGUGACGGUACCUCCAAAGGAAGCACCGGCUAACUCCGUGCCAGCAGCCGCGGUAAUACGGAGGGUGCGAGCGUUGUCCGGAAUCACUGGGCGUAAAGGGCGCGUAGGCGGCCUGAUAAGUAGGGGGUGAAAUCCUGCGGCUUAACCGCAGGGCUGCCUUCUAAACUGUCAGGCUCGAGCACAGUAGAGGCAGGUGGAAUUCCCGGUGUAGCGGUGGAAUGCGUAGAGAUCGGGAAGAACAUCAGUGGCGAAGGCGGCCUGCUGGGCUGUUGCUGACGCUGAGGCGCGACAGCGUGGGGAGCAAACAGGAUUAGAUACCCCCGUAGUCC